GACCCACAACAUAUUACUGAGUAUGUCAAGGCCAUCACCUCUGCUUCAAAAGAGGCCAAUAUACCUGUAGAUAAUUUAGCAACAAUGAAUGCGAUCUUAUUGGACGUCACUCUUGAGAAACUCAGUUCCACAUUUGGUUCUUAUCAAACGCAAAAUUGGACAAAUUUGUUUCAAUAUGAAUUGGUGGUCUUGAUUCCAUACUUCCAAACAGCUCAUCUUAAACUUCUACCCAUUGACAUCAGCUGUUCCUCAUACCAGGCAAUCGUCAAAGGAUUUAGUUUGGUUUACAAAUCACUUUCAG